UGAAAAUACAACCGAAACAAAUGCUUUUCCUCACAUCAUGCCAUUUGGCAUACACUAGAAACAACUUAAUGUGUUCCAUAACUACUCAGUUACAGAAGUGCUGAUGUAAUAAUGCUCCAAGCUGAUUGAGAAGAAGUCAUCAUCAAGAUUGACAAGCAAGUGCUAUACACUUCUCAUAUCUAAGAUUGCAGGAUUUGAAUUCAGAGAUGGAUCCAGAAAGAUCAGUAGAGGACCAAUUCUCCAAGCUGCAUCCUUCCAUGCCUGUAAACACCAGAAUUGGAAUAGUGGGUGCUGGUCCAAGUGGCUUAUCAGCUGCUUAUGCACUGGCCAGACUUGGUUACAAUAAUAUCACUGUCUUGGAGAAGCAUCAUACAGUUGGUGGCAUGUGUGAAUCAGUAG